rnacentral:rRNA from 1 species
AAAUUGAAGAGUUUGAUCAUGGCUCAGAUUGAACGCUGGCGGCAGGCCUAAACACAUGCAAGUCGAACGGUAACAGGAAACAGCUUGCUGUUUCGCUGACGAGUGGCGGACGGGUGAGUAAUGUCUGGGAAACUGCCUGAUGGAGGGGGAUAACUACUGGAAACGGUAGCUAAUACCGCAUAACGUCGCAAGACCAAAGAGGGGGACCUUCGGGCCUCUUGCCAUCGGAUGUGCCCAGAUGGGAUUAGCUUGUUGGUGGGGUAACGGCUCACCAAGGCGACGAUCCCUAGCUGGUCUGAGAGGAUGACCAGCCACACUGGAACUGAGACACGGUCCAGACUCCUACGGGAGGCAGCAGUGGGGAAUAUUGCACAAUGGGCGCAAGCCUGAUGCAGCCAUGCCGCGUGUAUGAAGAAGGCCUUCGGGUUGUAAAGUACUUUCAGCGGGGAGGAAGGGAGUAAAGUUAAUACCUUUGCUCAUUGACGUUACCCGCAGAAGAAGCACCGGCUAACUCCGUGCCAGCAGCCGCGGUAAUACGGAGGGUGCAAGCGUUAAUCGGAAUUACUGGGCGUAAAGCGCACGCAGGCGGUUUGUUAAGUCAGAUGUGAAAUCCCCGGGCUCAACCUGGGAACUGCAUCUGAUACUGGCAAGCUUGAGUCUCGUAGAGGGGGGUAGAAUUCCAGGUGUAGCGGUGAAAUGCGUAGAGAUCUGGAGGAAUACCGGUGGCGAAGGCGGCCCCCUGGACGAAGACUGACGCUCAGGUGCGAAAGCGUGGGGAGCAAACAGGAUUAGAUACCCUGGUAGUCCACGCCGUAAACGAUGUCGACUUGGAGGUUGUGCCCUUGAGGCGUGGCUUCCGGAGCUAACGCGUUAAGUCGACCGCCUGGGGAGUACGGCCGCAAGGUUAAAACUCAAAUGAAUUGACGGGGGCCCGCACAAGCGGUGGAGCAUGUGGUUUAAUUCGAUGCAACGCGAAGAACCUUACCUGGUCUUGACAUCCACGGAAGUUUUCAGAGAUGAGAAUGUGCCUUCGGGAACCGUGAGACAGGUGCUGCAUGGCUGUCGUCAGCUCGUGUUGUGAAAUGUUGGGUUAAGUCCCGCAACGAGCGCAACCCUUAUCCUUUGUUGCCAGCGGUCCGGCCGGGAACUCAAAGGAGACUGCCAGUGAUAAACUGGAGGAAGGUGGGGAUGACGUCAAGUCAUCAUGGCCCUUACGACCAGGGCUACACACGUGCUACAAUGGCGCAUACAAAGAGAAGCGACCUCGCGAGAGCAAGCGGACCUCAUAAAGUGCGUCGUAGUCCGGAUUGGAGUCUGCAACUCGACUCCAUGAAGUCGGAAUCGCUAGUAAUCGUGGAUCAGAAUGCCACGGUGAAUACGUUCCCGGGCCUUGUACACACCGCCCGUCACACCAUGGGAGUGGGUUGCAAAAGAAGUAGGUAGCUUAACCUUCGGGAGGGCGCUUACCACUUUGUGAUUCAUGACUGGGGUGAAGUCGUAACAAGGUAACCGUAGGGGAACCUGCGGUUGGAUCACCUCCUUACCUUAAAGAAGC